GAUCAAGCUAUUAAGGGUGCAUGGUGGAUGCCUAGGUGUCGAGAGGCGAUGAAGGACGUGGUAGGCUGCGAUAAGCUCCGGGGAGCCGUCAAACAGGCCUUGAUCCGGAGAUCUCCGAAUGGGGCAACCCGGCGUCACUUCGCAAGAAGAUGGCGUCACGGCGGGCUGAAUGUAUAGGCCCGUUCGAGCGAACCCAGUGAACUGAAACAUCUCAGUAGCUGGAGGAAAGGAAAUCAACCGAGACUCCGUUAGUAGCGGCGAGCGAAAGCGGAUAUAGCCCAAACCGGGAGUGAUCCCGGGGUUGUGGAAGCCGAGAGCAGUUACAAAAGCAUCACUAGCGGAAGCGUCUGGAAAGGCGCACCAUAGAGGGUGACAGUCCCGUACGCGACAGUGACCGCUCUGCGUUACCAUCGGCUAUCCAGAGUAGCACCAUGCUCGUGGAACGUGGUGUGAAGCUGGGGGGCCCACCCUCCAAGGCUAAGUACUCCUCGACAACCGAUAGAGCACAAGUAGGGUGACUGAAAGGUGAAAAGAACCCUUACAAAGGGAGUUCAAAGAACCUGAAACCAUGUACCUACAAGCUGUGGGAGUCCUAUGCCAUGCCUUCGGGUAUGGAAUGGAUGACCGCGUACCUUUUGCAUAAUGGACCGGCGAGUUACCGUCUACGGCUUGGUUAAGCACUUCCGGUGCGGAGCCGAAGCGAAAGCGAGUCUGAAUAGGGCGACAUUGUCGUAGGUGGUAGACCCGAAACCAGGUGAUCUACCCAUGGCCAGGAUGAAGUGCCCGUAAAAGGGUGCGGAGGUCCGAACCGGUUAACGUUGAAAAGUUAUCGGAUGAGCUGUGGGGAGGAGUAAAAGUCUAAUCAAACCUGGAGAUAUCUGGUUCUCCUCGAAAUGCCUUUCGGGGCAGCCUCGGGCCACUACGUCACGGGGGUAGAGCUACUGAAUGAAACGCAGGGGCCACCAGCCUACUGCCUUCAAUCAAACUCCGAAUACCGUGACGACUAUCCCGGGAGUGAGACUGCGGGGGAUAACCUUCGUGGUCGAAAGGGAAACAACCCAGCCCGCCUGCUAAGGUCCCAAAUUUCCGCUGAGUGCAUAAGGAUGUCUAGUCUCUGAGACAACCGGGAUGUUGGCUUAGAAGCAGCCACCAUUUAAAAAGUGCGUAAUAGCUUACCGGUCGAGAAACUGGGCACCGAUAAUGAACGGGACUAAGCGGAAAACCGAAGCAGCGGACCGUGCGGCCAAGCGGCCGUGCGAUGGUAGAGGAGCGUUGAUAGGCAGAUACAGGCCGUACCGUAAGGAGCGGUGAUGGGCCUAUCAAGUGCGCAUGCCGGUAUGAGUAACGAGAAAGCGGGUGAAAACCCCGCUCGCCGAAAACCUAAGGGUUCCUGGGGAAGGUCAAUCCGCCCAGGGUUAGCCGGAACCUAAGGCGAGGCUGAAAGGCGUAGCCGAUGGACAGCAGGUUAAUAUUCCUGCGCCCCGUCAGGAGGUUGAGUCGUACGUGCGUUUUCUCAAACCGUGGCCCACGAUUAGGUUCGAGGGUGCCCGAGAGGGCGAGGCCGAUUUGUUGCCGAAGCAUGGAGCGAGGGAACCGAGAAAAGCGUGCGAGGACGAAUGGCGGGUCCGUACUAAAACUGACACAGGUAGGUGAGGCGCGUAGCCUCAGGCGCUCGAGAGAACGGUCCUUAAGGAACUAGGCAUAUUUGCCCCGUAACUUCGGGAUAAGGGGUCCCUCCUUGGAUAGUAGCAAUAUUGUCCAAGAGGGCACAGCAAAGCGGCUCUGGGAACUGUUUAUCAAAAACACAGGUCUCUGCUAACUCGUACAGAGGAUGUAUAGAGACUGACGCCUGCUCGGUGCCGGAAGGUUAAGGAAGUAGGUCAUCCCUUCGGGGAGAAGCUUGCAACCGAAGCCCCGGUUAACGGCGGCCCUAACUAUGAGGGUCCUAAGGUAGCGAAGUUCCUUGUCGGGUAAGUUCCGACGCGCAUGAAUGGCGUAAUCACUGGAGCACUGUCUCAAGGACCGACUCGGUGAAAUUGGACUUGUGGUGAAGAUACCACAUACCCACGGCAAGACGGAAAGACCCCGUGAACCUUUACUGUAGCCUGGUAUUGGCCACAGGCAUCACAUGCGUAGGAUAGGUGGGAGGCGAUAAUCUGGCGGCCCAGGCCGUCAGGGAGCCAACGGUGAAAUACCACUCUUGUGCUGUUUGUUGCCUAACUUUGUCCCGUGAAUCCGGGCAGAGGACCGUGCUAGGUGGGCAGUUUGGCUGGGGCGGUCUCCUCCCAAAGAGUAACGGAGGAGCGCAAAGGUCGGCUCAGCGCGGUUGGCAAUCGCGUUUUGAGUGUAAGGGCACAAGCCGGCUUAACUGCGAGUCCGACGGGACGAGCAGAUACGAAAGUAGGCCCUAGUGAUCCGGUGAUCCCGUGUGGAAGGGUCAUCGCUCAACGGACAAAAGGUACUCCGGGGAUAACAGGCUGAUCUCCCCCGAGCGUCCAUAGCGGCGGGGAGGUUUGGCACCUCGA
rnacentral:rRNA from 1 species